AACGCACAUUGCGCUCCCUGCGAGGGGAGCACACCUGUUUGAGCAUGCGAACACUAUCACACGGCGUGUGGAGCUGGGCGGCACGGGUGCCGCCUGAAAGAGAGAGGCGCGGCAGCAUACAGGAGGCGCUGCCGGGCCGGGCCGGGGGAGUGGGCGUGGGCGUGGGCGAGUGGGUGCAGUGCGAGUGGUGAGCGUACACUGCGGUGGCGCACACACGCGCACAACCACACACGCGCACAACCAACCACAACCAACACAACACACAUCUCAAAUCAGGCGAGAGUACCCGCUGAACUUAA
rnacentral:misc_RNA from 1 species